GGUGUCUUUGCUGGAGCAGUUUAAUAAAGCCUCAGAUGCAUUCAAUAGGGCCGCUGACCUGUUUUGAUGGUAAAUGGAAAAGCACAGACCAAGAAAGUCAUGGUGACCACAAGAUCAGACCUCUGAGAGAUGAGAGCCUGAGUCAUCCUCACAAGAAUUAUUUAUCCUGAUUGAGAGGUGCUGCCUACAAGAGAUGAUUGGAAGAAGCCAAAUUUUUCUCCUGCAAGGAAAUAAUACAGAGAAAGAAAGUAUUAAAAGUCAGCUUUGCCUUCUGAGAUGUCAGAUUAGGGGAGGGUUUUUACACAAGCUGCUUCAGAUCACUUCCUUCUUCCUUAUGAGAGCUCAACACCGUGCAGCUGGUUGGUUAAAGGAGCCCCACUUCUGCCGAGUAGUCAGAACUCCAAACUGAAGUGAAGCAACGCGAAUCAACAUGCAGGAAAUGGGCACCUUAACUCUAUUUUUAUAAUAAGUACAAUGAUUUUGUUGCUUUAAAGACGUGUUUUCUUUUCUUUCUGUUGAACAAAAAAACCCAAGUUCAAAUAGGGUCCAGCACUUAUGGUGUCGGUGCUGAUUCGGGCACACUCUGAGGCGCUCUAAGCCCUGAACGCGUGACGAAAACCCUUGCCCCCAGCUCCCCCGUGGAGCACUAGGAUUGCGUCUCACUCCGCCCACACCCCACUCCACACCCUGAGGAUGGGGCACGGGGAAGUGGCCCAGAAAGCAGACACUUGAGUCUGGGCUCCACAUCAACUCUAUGACUUUGGACCUUGGACAAAACCAUCAUUAUUCUUUCCAGAUCUCACUGUUGUCACCUACCUAGUGAGCAGUUGGGCCUCGUCCCACUCUCACAGUUGACGAUCUGGAAGCAUAUAUGUCGCUCUGUCAGACAAAACCUCUGUUUGGUUUUCUUUUGUACUGUUUAAUAAUUUGGAAGAAAUGUUUUCAUUUGUUUUUAUGUUUUUCUUAUUUAAAAACAUGUUAAUUUUUAAAUAAUAUAAAAAUCUAGAUAAGCAAAAAGAAGAAAACAAAUUAAAUUCACCCAUAAUCCUACUACCCAAUAAAAUGUUACAGUAUAUAGCCUCCAGCCAUUUGCAUUGUGAUUGUUCAGUUAACAAUAUGCUGAGAUUAUCUACCCACGACUUAACCACGGUCAUGCCGGCAUAGCACAGUUCACC